AUUAAAGUCUCUCUUCUCCCUGAGAUCAUGUCUAAGUCGGAGUCUCCUAAAGAGCCGGAACAGCUGAGGAAGCUCUUCAUUGGAGGGUUGAGCUUUGAAACAACUGAUGAGAGCCUGAGGAGCCAUUUUGAGCAAUGGGGAACGCUCACAGACUGUGUGGUAAUGAGAGAUCCAAACACCAAGCGCUCCAGGGGCUUUGGGUUCAUCACGUAUGCAACUGUGGAGGAGGUGGAUGCAGCCAUGAAUGCAAGGCCACACAAAGUGGAUGGAAGAGCUGUGGAACCAAAGAGAGCUGUCUCAAGAGAAGAUUCUCAAAGACCAGGUGCCCACUUAACUGAGAAAAAAAAAAUUCGUUGGUGGCAUUAAAGAAACACUGAAGAACAUCACCUAAGAGAUUAUUUUGAACAGUAUAGAAAAAUUGAAGUGAUUGAAAUCAUGACUGACAGAGGCAGUGGCAAGAAAAGGGGCUUUGCCUUUGUAACCUUUGAUGACCAUGACUCCGUGGAUAAGAUUGUCAUUCAGAAAUACCAUACUGUGAAUGGCCACAACUGUGAAGUUAGGAAAGCCCUGUCAAAGCAAGAGAUGGCUAGUGCUUCAUCCAGCCAAAGAAGUCGAAGUGGUUCUGGAAACUUUGGUGGUGGUCGUGGAGGUGGUUUCGGUGGCAAUGACAACUUUGGUCGUGGAGGAAACUUCAGUGGUCAUGGUAGCUUUGGUGGCAGCUGUGGUGGUGGUGGGUAUGGUGGCAGUGGGGAUGGCUAUAAUGGAUUUGGUAAUGAUGGUGGUUAUGGAGGAGGCGGCCCUGGUUACUCUGGAGGAAGCAGAGGCUAUGGAAGUGGUGGACAGGGUUAUGGAAACCAGGGCAGUGGCUAUGGCAGCGGGAGUGGCAGCUAUGACAGCUAUAACAAUGGAGGCGGAGGCGGCUUUGGCGGUGGUAGUGGAGGCAAUUUUGGAAGUGGUGGAAGCUACAAUGAUUUUGGCAGUUACAACAAUUAGUCUUCAAAUUUUGGACCCAUGAAGGGAGGAAACUUUGGAGGCAGAAGCUCUGGCCCCUAUGGUGGUGGCGGCCAAUACUUUGCCAAACCAUGAAACCAAGGUGGCUAUGGCGGUUCCAGUAGCAGCAGUAGCUAUGGCAGUGGCAGAAGAUUUUAAUUAGGAAACAAAGCUUAGUAGGAGAGGAGAG